rnacentral:tRNA from 1 species
GCAAUAGUAGCUUAAUAUUAGAGCGCCGGCUUUGUAAUCCGGAGGUGGAGGCGAACAUUCCUUUCUUUUGCU